GUUUUAAUAAUUUAAUAAAAAAAUAUUGGUCUUGUAAACCAAAAAUGAAUAAAUCUCUUAAAACU
rnacentral:tRNA from 1 species